rfam:Hordeum vulgare subsp. vulgare, WGS project CAJW01000000 data, contig: morex_contig_50781
GUUAUACUCUCUCGGUUCGAAAAUACUUGUCCAAAAAAUGAAUGUAUCUAGACGUAUUUUAGUUCUAGAUAUAUUUAUUUUUAUUCAUUUCUUCGACAAGUAUGUCUGAUGGAGGGAGUAUUUG